rnacentral:rRNA from 1 species
UGGCUCAGAACAAACGCUGGCGGCGUGUCUUAAGCAUGCAAGUUGAGCGGCAAGGAGGAGAGAUCCUCCCUAGAGCGGCGGACUGGUGAGUAACGCGUGGGUAAUCUAUCUUAGGCAUGGGGAUAGUCACUAGAAAUAGUGGGUAAUACCGAAUACGUUCCAUGAGGGGAGUAUUCAUGGAAGAAAGGGUGCUACGGCACUGGCCUUAGGUGAGCUCGCGUCCCAUUAGCUAGUUGGUGAGGUAAAGGCCCACCAAGGCGAUGAUGGGUAGCCGGCCUGAGAGGGUGUACGGCCACACUGGGACUGAGAUACGGCCCAGACUCCUACGGGAGGCAGCAGCUAAGAAUAUUCCGCAAUGGACGAAAGUCUGACGGAGCGACGCCGCGUGGAUGAAGAAGGCCGAAAGGUUGUAAAGUUCUUUUGCUAGGGGAGAAUAAGUGAGGGAGGGAAUGCCCUCAUGAUGACAAGGACUAGCGAAUAAGCCCCGGCCAACUACGUGCCAGCAGCCGCGGUAACACGUAGGGGGCGAGCGUUGUUCGGAAUUACUGGGCGUAAAGGGCAUGUAGGCGGCUUGGUAAGCCUGGCGUGAAAGUCUGCAGCUUAACUGUAGGGAUGCGUUGGGAACUGCUUAGCUUGAGUUACGGAGAGGGAGCUGGAAUUCCUGGUGUAGGGGUGAAAUCUGUAGAUAUCAGGAAGAACACCGAUGGCGAAGGCAAGCUUCUGGUCGAUAACUGACGCUGAGGUGCGAAAGUGUGGGGAUCAAACAGGAUUAGAUACCCUGGUAGUCCACACUGUAAACGAUGUGCACGAGGUGCUGGGGCGGUAGUUUCAGUGCCGGAGCGAACGCGGUAAGUGCACCGCCUGGGGAGUAUGCUCGCAAGGGUGAAACUCAAAGGAAUUGACGGGGGCCCGCACAAGCGGUGGAGCAUGUGGUUUAAUUCGAU